CACGUAGGCACCAAGCGUUGUCCGGAAUCAUUGGGCGUAAAGAGCGUGUAGGCGGCUCGAUAAGUCUGCUGUGAAAGUCCAGGGCUCAACCCUGGAAGGCCGGUGGAAACUGUCGGGCUAGAGUCCGGAAGAGGCGAGUGGAAUUCCCGGUGUAGCGGUGAAAUGCGCAGAUAUCGGGAGGAACACCAAUGGCGAAGGCAGCUCGCUGGGACGGUACUGACGCUGAGACGCGAAAGCGUGGGGAGCAAACAGG
rnacentral:rRNA from 1 species